rnacentral:lncRNA from 1 species
CUCAUUAACAAACUAGUUCUGUGCGUCCUUAACACUGAGGCCCCUCGCCUGCAGCUGGAGGCAGCUCUCUGUUCAGCCCCAGUGCAGAGUGACACAGACAGGCGACAGCGUCGCUGAGCACCAACUUCUAUUCCACGGAGGCAGACAGCGAAAACCAUUUCAUAACCAUGGCAAGGCAUGAGAGAAGCACAGGGUAGCUGCAAAGUUUUGGAAAAGACCUCUGCAACAACUGGAAGCACAGUGUACCCAAGUGGAAAGCAGUGGCCAUGUAUGUCAUGAGGACAUUCCAGUAACCCCAUGUGGUAAGGAACCAAGUCAGCCUGCCAACAACCACUGAAAAACUGAGCCCUCCUGCUGACAGCCAUGUGAGAGGAACACCUGGGAAGUGGAUCCUCCAGGCCUGGUCAUACUUCAGAUGACUGCAGCCCAAGCCAACAUCUUGCUUGAGUGGAGCCUCAUGAGUGACUCAGUCAAAACCACACAGCUGAGAUAUUUCCAACCCACAGAUACUGAGAUAAUAAAUGUUUAUUGCUACUAGGUUUCCUUCCUUCCUUCCUUCCUUCCUUUUUCUCUUCUCUUCUCCUUCCUUCCUUCCUCCCUCCCUCUCCUCCUCCUCCGUCUUCUUCCUCUUCCUCUUCUUCCUCUUCCCCUUCCCCUUCCUCUUCCUCCUUCUUUCUUUCUUACUUUCUUUCUCUUUCUUUCUUUCUUUCUCUAUGAAAAUAUCAGGUGUACUAUAUUUUACCUGCCUUCAUGUAUAUUUGAAUAAUUCCAUAAUAAAACUUUUUAAAAUUCA